UACGUAGGGCGCAAGCGUUGUCCGGAAUUAUUGGGCGUAAAGGGCUCGUAGGCGGUUCGUCACGUCGGGAGUGAAAACUCGGAGCUUAACUCCGAGCCUGCUUCCGAUACGGGCAGACUAGAGGUAGGCAGGGGAGAGCGGAACUCCUGGUGUAGCGGUGGAAUGCGCAGAUAUCAGGAAGAACACCGGUGGCGAAGGCGGCUCUCUGGGCCUUACCUGACGCUGAAGAGCGAAAGCGUGGGUAGCGAACAGG
rnacentral:rRNA from 1 species